UACAGAGGUCUCAAGCGUUGUUCGGAUUCAUUGGGCGUAAAGGGUGCGUAGGCGGCGCGGUAAGUCGGGUGUGAAAUCUCGGAGCUUAACUCCGAAACUGCAUUCGAUACUGCCGUGCUUGAGGACUGGAGAGGAGACUGGAAUUUACGGUGUAGCGGUGAAAUGCGUAGAUAUCAAGUGGAACACCAGUGGCGAAGGCGAGUCCCUGGACAACUCCUGACACUGAGGCACGAAAGCUAGGGGAGCGAACGGG
rnacentral:rRNA from 1 species